GAGAAGCUGACCGCCAUGAUCCGUACCCACCGUCUACUAGGCCUACUACUAAACGCAUCUUAUGUGCGCGGUACGCUGGUGGACGGGGUUCAAAGCUGAUUCAGCCCAUCAUCUGCAAAACCCGCGCUACUGCGCGGGUUUUUUU
rfam:Serratia fonticola strain DSM 4576, complete genome.